rnacentral:rRNA from 1 species
AUGCACAAGGGCCUCGCCUCCGUGACCCUCCUCGUCCCAUGGAUGAUAUGGAAGCACCGCAACGACUGCAUCUUCAACAGAGGCCGGCCCUCGACGACCGACCUGCUCACGAAGAUCAAAGACGAGGCCGCCCUCUGGGCCAGAGCCGGCGCCCUAGGGCUUCGUGCCAUCUUGCCGCAAACAUGGGACGUGCACUGA